rnacentral:rRNA from 1 species
GACGAACGCUGGCGGCGUGCCUAAUACAUGCAAGUAGGACGCACAGUUUAUACCGUAGCUUGCUACACCAUAGACUGUGAGUUGCGAACGGGUGAGUAACGCGUAGGUAACCUGCCUAUUAGAGGGGGAUAACUAUUGGAAACGAUAGCUAAUACCGCAUAACAGUAUGUAACACAUGUUAGAUGCUUGAAAGAUGCAAUUGCAUCGCUAGUAGAUGGACCUGCGUUGUAUUAGCUAGUAGGUAGGGUAAUGGCCUACCUAGGCGACGAUACAUAGCCGACCUGAGAGGGUGAUCGGCCACACUGGGACUGAGACACGGCCCAGACUCCUACGGGAGGCAGCAGUAGGGAAUCUUCGGCAAUGGGGGGAACCCCUGACCGAGCAACGCCGCGUGAGUGAAGAAGGUUUUCGGAUCGUAAAAGCUCUGUUGUUAAGGAAG